rnacentral:rRNA from 1 species
AGAGUUUGAUCCUGGCUCAGGAUGAACGCUAGCGGCAGGCCUAACACAUGCAAGUCGAGCGGUUUGUAGCGAUACAGAUAGCGGCGGACGGGUGCGUAACGCGUACGGAACUUGCCCUGGAGUGGGGGAUAACAGUUCGAAAGGACUGCUAAUACCGCAUAAUGCAGCGGCUCCAUAAGGAGACAGUUGUUAAAGAUUUAUUGCUUCAGGAGAGUCGUGCGUAAGAUUAGCUAGUUGGCGGGGUAACGGCCCACCAAGGCGACGAUCUUUAGCUGGUCUGAGAGGAUGAGCAGCCACACUGGGACUGAGACACGGCCCAGACUCCUACGGGAGGCAGCAGUGAGGGAUAUUGCACAAUGGGGGCAACCCUGAUGCAGCGACGCCGCGUGGGUGAUGAAGGCUUUCGGGUCGUAAAACCCUUUUUGGCAUGACGAGAACGGACGGUAGUGCCAGAAUAAGUCUCGGCUAACUACGUGCCAGCAGCCGCGGUAAUUC